rnacentral:snoRNA from 1 species
CUCGCACCCAAACCCAAGCACUGCAGUUUCUAUUAACAGUGGCUCAAACAGCGGUGAGGACAGCAAGUCAAUCUCGUCACCUUUGGGGGGCUGUGCCAUGUCCCUCAGAGUGAAUGUGGAGGUUCUACACCC